rnacentral:lncRNA from 1 species
GGGAAAAUAAUUUCAAUACAUUUCCUAAACAUUUCAAGUAAUGUUGAUAAAAGACGAAAACCAUAAACACAUCACAUUCAAGUCAUCGUCAACUAAUGGUGAUAAAAGACAAAUACCAAAAACACACCAGAGAACAACCUAAGUAAUGGUGAUCAGCAUAAAGUGCCAAUAAAAAACCACCUACAAAUCUCCAAAUAACGAAAGCGAAACAACCACAAAAUGUACGAAUACAAAAUACCUUUGGAUUAAAAAUGAAAAACACUCUACAGAGAAAGUGACCAGUGCACCCAACCCACGAAGGAACAACGACUAUAGCCAAAAAACGUCUCCUUUCAAGAAAAGACGCCAAUAGUGGUCCCAAACGAGAAUUCCUCCCAGGACUUCAAUGGCAGACAAAUACAAAGGACUUCCUCUAGAGAAUAGCUGGACCCAAGCACCAACGAACAUAAGUGAAGAAAGAGGACUUCGGUGGUGGAGCGAGAGUUUUGAAUGACGGAACGAGAGUUUGGAAUGAAAAAAGUGGAGAGAAAAAGUGUUUCGUGAAGAUGAAAUUGAGCAAAAUGAAGGCGCGAACAGGUUUUAACAAUUUUAUUUUAAAAAUCGUCGCAAAAAUAGAUCUCAACUUUUUAAAUAAAUCAUUUAAAACAACAAAUGACGAAACAACUGUCAAAUUGUUAUCAAAUUGACGUUAUUGAAGAAAUCACUAGUACAAAAAUCAUAUUUUAUGGCGUACAAAAACGAACUAUGACGUACAUAGUUUUGUACGUUAUAAUAUGUCUACAUAUUUUAUGACGUAGC